rnacentral:rRNA from 1 species
GGACUACAGGGGUAUCUAAUCCUGUUUGCUCCCCACGCUUUCGUGCCUCAGUGUCAGUGUCGGACCAGAAAGUCGCCUUCGCCACUGAUGUUCCUUCCGAUAUCUACGCAUUUCACCGCUACACCGGAAAUUCCACUUUCCUCUUCCAAACUCUAGUUUCACAGUAUCAAAUGCCAUUCCUAGGUUAAGCCCAGGGUUUUCACAUCUGACUUAUAAAACCACCUACGCACCCUUUACGCCCAGUAAUUCCGAUUAACGCUCGCACCCUCUGUAUUACCGCGGCUGCUGGCAC